CUUGCGGUCACAUCACGUUGAAACACCGGUUCCUGUACGAUCACUGAAGUUAAGCAACGUCGAGUCCAGUCAGUACCUAAAUGGGUGAUCCUUUGGGAAUACCAGUUGCUGUAA